UACGUAGGGUGCAAGCGUUAAUCGGAAUACUGGGCGUAAAGCGUGCGCAGGCGGUGAUGUAAGACAGUUGUGAAAUCCCCGGGCUCAACCUGGGAACUGCAUCUGUGACUGCAUCGCUGGAGUACGGUAGAGGGGGAUGGAAUUCCGCGUGUAGCAGUGAAAUGCGUAGAUAUGCGGAGGAACACCGAUGGCGAAGGCAAUCCCCUGGACCUGUACUGACGCUCAGGCGCGACAGCGUGGGGAUCGAAACAAGG
rnacentral:rRNA from 1 species